AUGCAAAAAGAGCCUUCCCGGGUGCUUAAAAAGAAGGGACCUGGGGUCUCUGCUACUGAAGAGGACUCCAUCCUUUCUAAUGACCAUAAUGGCCAGCUGCAGAAGCAGAGCUACCCUUGGUGCUCAAAAUUUAUCUCCUAUGAUAAUAAAUCGAGGAAAAAAAAGCAGCUGGACAUGCUCCUGUUUGUUGCAACUCUGGAACAUUUCUUUGACACUGCUGUUUCAUGUGGUAUGCUGGCUCAGCUGCCCAUCUGUUUUCUGCCUAACACAGGACCAUUGAGAAAAAUAAAGGAGAGAGAAGGUGACUGGGACUCUUACAGACUAUUUAUUUUGCAUUAGACCUUAGAAACUUUCGGCCUCUGGUGGACUCCACAGACACCAUUUCUCCAAAAAGCUUUGAAGAAUGAUCUAUGAAGGACGCUACAAAACAUCUCAAGAUCAAUUGCUG